GUAAUUUAUAAUUUAUUUAAAUUAAAAUUCACGAAACCAGGCGAACUAAAUUUAAUAUGAGUUUAGUCAAUAUAUUAAUUGGCGUAGCAUAGCCACAUGGUUAAUUAAAUUUAGGGGUGAUAGGCCAUUCAAGUCUGGUGAUAUCUUGAUUUUAAGUAAAUAUAUUUAGUAUAAAAUUCACCCUGAAAAUGGUGAGGUUUUCAGGAAAUAUUAUAUAUAGUUAAUAAAAGAAUUGGUAUUUGUAAAAAAAACCAAAAUAUAUCAACUAAUAUUAUAUACUUUAUGUAUAUAUCUCAUACUUAAACCUUUUGAGUUAUAUUAUCCAACCAUGUAUAUGAUUACAUUAGUAUUAAACUUAAAUUUUUUUAAGGAAUUCGGCAAAAUUUUUCCUCGACUGUUUACCAAAAACAUAGCCCUAAGUUAUUUCUUUAGGGUUAAACCUGCUCAAUGAUUUUUUAAAUAGCCGCAGUACUUUGACUGUGCAAAGGUAGCAUAAUCAAUUGUCUUUUAAUUGAAGUCUAGUAUGAAUGGGAAUUAGGGGAAAUUCUGUCUUAUUUAAAUUGUAGAACUUAUUUAAUAAGUGAAAAUACUUAUAUUAAGAAAAAAGACGAGAAGACCCUAGAAAUUUUUUUCAUUUUUAAUUUUUAGGAUUUUGUUGGGGCGACAAGGUAACAAAAAACUUACCUAUUUUUUAGAAUCUUUUUAGAAGAAUAAAUAAAUUACUCUAGGGAUAACAGCAUAAUAUUUGAAAGUUUGUGACCUCGAUGUUGGACUAGGAACUCCAUUACUUAGAAGGUAAUGGGUCAAGCUCUGUUCGAGCUAUUAUUCCUACAUGAUCUGAGUUCAGACCGG
rnacentral:rRNA from 1 species